GGGUGCAAUCAUGCUAGUACUAAUGCACCAGAUCCCAUCAGAACUCCGAAGUUAAGCGUGCUUUGGUAAGAGUAGUACUAGGAUGGGUGACCCCCUUGGAAGUCUUCGUGUUGCAUCCC